UAAAUUUAAGGGAAUUUAAUACCUAGUAAAGUAAUGGUUUACUACCAUCAGCAAUGUGUUUUUUUAUGCUGUAGAAACAUUACUGCCCUCAGUAAAGUAUGUGUUCGUGUGCAGAACAACAAAAAAUGAGGUUCUGGAAACUUUACUGCCCCCAGUAAAGUAUGUGUUUGGAUGCAGAACAACAAAAUCUGAUACUCUGGAAACAUUACUACCCCUAGUAAAGUAUGUGUUUGGGUGCAGAACAACAAAAUCCGAUACUCUGGAAACAUUACUACCCCUAGUAAAGUAUGUGUUAGUGUGCAGAACAACAAAAACUGAGGUUCUGAAAACAUUACUACCCCUAGUAAAGUAUGUGUUAGGCUGCAGAACAACAAAAACUGAGGUUCUGGAAACAUUACUACCCCCAGUAAAGUAUGUCUUAGGCUGCAGAACAAGUAAAUCUGAUAUUCUGGAAACAUUACUACCCUCAGUAAAGUUUAUUACUGGGUGAAGAACAACAUUACUACCCCCUUAGUUGUGUUUUUUUAUGCUCUGGAAACAUUACUACCCCUAGUAAAGUAUGUGUUAGGCUGCAGAACAACAAAAACUGAGGUUCUGGAAAUAUUACUACCCCUAGUAAAGUAUGUUCUAGGGUGCAAAACAACAAAAACUGAGGUUUUGGAAACUUUACUACCCCUAGUAAAGUAUGUGUUAGGCUGCAGAACAACAAAAUCUGAACAUAAUAAUAUUGUCAAGAGAAUUCCACAAUAAUGAACAUCACAAAAAUCUUCAAUCAAAAUCCUUACAAUAGAGAGAAAUCUGAAUAUAGUUCAAAAAACAUCCAAAAAACAACAAAUUCCAAACAUCCACUAACAACCAGAAGGAUGUACAAGAAACUACAACAACAUGUUCAAAGGUUCCGUACAGCUCUUCUUGUUAUGAUGGCCCAUCUUAUUACAACGACCGCAUCGAAUCAGCUUCUUCUCACCAGCAGAUGCUAUCCUCUUUGAUUUAGGCCUCCCAGCCGGCCUCUUUGUAACAGGAGGUAGUAUAAAGUCCUCAGUGGAAGAACAAGAGGCAUCCACGUUACUCAGAGGUGCAAUAGGAAAGCUAUAACACAUCCUAUAGUAUUCAGCAGUAAAAUAAGGAUCAAUGAAAUCAUACACAUCAAGUCUUGCACCUUGUAUAGCAGCAAGUGCAUGAGCACAUGGGAAGCAAUUAAUCUGCCACUUCACACAUGAACAAGUACGAGUAGAGAGGUCCACUGAAUAGGAGUACUUAUCAUUCCUAACCUCN
rnacentral:lncRNA from 1 species